GACGAACGCAGGCGGCGUGCUUAACACAUGCAAGUCGAACGGAAAGGCCCCUUUGGGGGUACUCGAGUGGCGAACGGGUGAGUAACACGUGAGUAACCUGCCCUUGACUUCGGGAUAACUUCAGGAAACUGGGGCUAAUACCGGAUAGGAAUCCUUGCUGCAUGGUGGGGGUUGGAAAGCUUCGGCGGUUUUGGAUGGACUCGCGGCUUAUCAGCUUGUUGGUGGGGUAGUGGCUUACCAAGGCUUUGACGGGUAGCCGGCCUGAGAGGGCGACCGGCCACAUUGGGACUGAGAUACGGCCCAGACUCCUACGGGAGGCAGCAGUGGGGAAUAUUGCACAAUGGGCGGAAGCCUGAUGCAGCAACGCCGCGUGCGGGAUGACGGCCUUCGGGUUGUAAACCGCUUUCAGCAGGGGCGAAGCUUGUGGUGACGGUACCUGCAGAAGAAGCACCGGCUAACUACGUG
rnacentral:rRNA from 1 species